UAAGGAAUAUUGGUCAAUGCCCGGAAGGGUGAACCAGCCAUCCCGCGUGAAGGAUGAAGGGGCUCUGCCUUGUAAACUUCUUUUGAAUGGGACGAAAAAGCCUCACUUGUGAGGAACUGACGGUACCAUUAGAAUAAGCACCGGCUAACUCCGUGCCAGCAGCCGCGGUAAUACGUAGGGUGCGAGCGUUAAUCGGAAUUACUGGGCGUAAAGCGUGCGCAGGCGGCGACAUAAGACAGAUGUGAAAUCCCCGGGCUCAACCUGGGAACUGCGUUUGUGACUGUGUUGCUAGAGUGUAGCAGAGGGGGGUGAAUUCCACGUGUAGCAGUGAAAUGCGUAGAGAUGUGGAGGAACACCGAUGGCGAAGGCAGCCCCCUGGGUUAACACUGACGCUCAUGCACGAAAGCGUGGGAGCAAACAGGAUUAGAUACCCGGGUAGUCCCUGAGCGGGCUGGCAAGGCGCAU
rnacentral:rRNA from 1 species